rnacentral:rRNA from 2 species
AGCAUAGCGAUUUGGGAUAAGUCCCUUGGAAGAGGGCAGCAUGGAGGGUGAUACUCCCGUCUCUGCCCAGGUUUGCUGUGUGUACGAUACGCUUUCUUUGAGUCGAGUUGUUUGGGAAUACAGCUCAAAGUAGGUGGUAAACUCCAUCUAAAGCUAAAUAUUGGUGCGAGACCGAUAGCGAACAAGUACCGUGAGGGAAAGAUGAAAAGAACUUUGAAAAGAGAGUUAAAGAGUACCUGAAACUGUUGAAAGGGAACCGUAUCGUUUCUAGUGUUUAUCCUAUGCAUCUUUCACUGGCGGUUGCAAAAUUGCUGGUGCCCUGUGCAUGGGUGUGACGUCAGAGUCAGUUUAAAUUGCGGGAGAUGGGCAGUGAGGAGGUGCGUCACUUUUGUGAAAGUUACAGCUCGCUGCCUAGUAGCCGUGGUUGAGACUGAGGUGCC